rnacentral:rRNA from 1 species
CACGUAGGGGGCAAGCGUUGUCCGGAUUUAUUGGGCGUAAAGGGCUCGUAGGCGGUUUGUCGCGUCGGGAGUGAAAACCAGGUGCUUAACACCUGGCUUGCUUUCGAUACGGGCAGACUAGAGGUAUGCAGGGGAGAACGGAAUUCCUGGUGUAGCGGUGAAAUGCGCAGAUAUCAGGAGGAACACCGGUGGCGAAGGCGGUUCUCUGGGCAUUACCUGACGCUGAGGAGCGAAAGUGUGGGGAGCGAACAGG